CCUCCUCUGACUGUGCAUGUGAGGGUCAGCAACAUCAACUUAACCACCCACACACAAGUAAGUGAGAUGUCUUUUUAAGAAAGAAAAGUGAAAUACAAUGUAGUUUAAUGUAGUUUAUUGUAAAUCCUGAAACAAAUUGUUGCCGGAAUUUGAAUGUAAUAACACAUUCAAGAAUGUCACACGAAGACUUUGUUCGGCUGCUAGUUACUUGCAACAGCUGUUAUAUUUGGUAUUUCUAUUUGUAACAGUUUUGCACAGUUCAACAUUGUUAGGGUUAAUGUUCUUUGUUUGUCAUCUGAUUACAUUUCACGUGUUGGUAUAGAGCAUAGCACUGUCCCUGACUGUUCUUCAAUCUGGCCAGGUCUGAAUCUGCUGUCUACUCAACCAUCUAAGGGGGGAAAACACUCUUGAUGGUGAUCUACAUUGCUCUGGCAGUGGGAAUUGGGAACAUUUACAUAUUGGGACUUAAGUGUUGUGUUAACAGUGUGUGUGUGUGUGUGUGUGUGUGUGUGUGUGUGUGUGUGUGUGUGUGUGUGUGUGUGUGUUUCUGUGUGAAAGAGUGAGUGAAUGACUGAGCAACUGAGACAGAGAUAAAGAGAGAGAGAGAGAAUUGUUGCUGUGGAUUUACAUGUAUGAGUAUUCUGUUGUGACUGACUGUUUCCCUUCAUAUCUCCCUCCCUUCCUCUCUCUCUGCUCUCGUCAGUCAGACCAUCGAGACUGAGCUUUGCAAACCAAGGGCCUCUCUUUAGGACACCAGCAGCAGUCAGUGAUCUGACCUUGUCUGUAUAGUCUGGACAGCAGCCCUCUUGACAGAGGAACACUCACUCCAGGAGCAUGCUCGACCAGUUUACCAAGACAUUCAGAUCCACAAUGAGCUCUGCUGCUAAAGAAGCCGUCCUAUUGGGGUCAAGUAUCAGUGGGAGGUCUGAUCGGUUGUCUUGGGAAGUCAUUAUGACCCCUGGUCAAGGAAUUGUACCAGGCUCUCAUUUGACACGUUCUCCAAGACGACCAGACUGAGAAGCGAUGCCUAAGUCCUCCUUCUCUAUCUCUCUUGUUUUUCUAACAUCAUAAAAUAAUAAUUUAUCUGAGUUAUCAUUAAGAGGAGGGUAUAAUGUACCCUGUCUCUGAUACCAGGAUAAACUCAGAGGAUUGAGACAGUCCCCUGUGUCAGAGGACUCAAGCAAUGAGAUGGAAUGGGUAUGUCCUGUCCACCAGCAUAAUGCACACACCCCAGUUUGAUCUGUCAGAUAAAACAGUUUCCAACAGUUUAAAUUAGUUUUCAAACAGUUUGAAUCUGAGCGCCCAAUCACAUUUCCAUACUAAAGCAGACGACUAGGGAUGAACGUGAUGACGUCACCAGCAUGCUGGAGGGACUGCAUCUGACUGAAGAGAUGGAGUGGACACCUCAGAUGGGUCCCGUCGGUGAGGUCACUCAGUCAUUCCAGAGUCUAAGCUUGGCUCCCCAGGAUGAGCAGAUGGACUGGGUACCAGAAGAUGCCAGCUGUGGCUUGGUAGAAUCAUUCCAGGGCCUGUCGCUGGGAGCUGUUGAGGAGAAGAUGGAGACUGAUUUAUGAGACUUAUGAGAUUUUUGUGUCCAAUUGUGGACAUGACAACCUGAACACUGUAAAUUAGUAUACUGUUUAUAUUGUACAUAUUUAGAUGUUAUGUAUGUCUGGAUUUAUCCAUUAUGUCAAAUGGAAAUGUAAUAAAUGUAACCC